UACACACGGAUAACAUACCGAAAGGUAUGCUAAUACGGGAUAAUAUAUUUGAGAGGCAUCUCUUAAAUAUCAAAGGUGAGCCAGUACAGGAUGGACCCGCGUCUGAUUAGCUAGUUGGUAAGGUAACGGCUUACCAAGGCGACGAUCAGUAGCCGACCUGAGAGGGUGAUCGGCCACAUUGGAACUGAGACACGGUCCAAACUCCUACGGGAGGCAGCAGUGGGGAAUAUUGCACAAUGGGCGAAAGCCUGAUGCAGCAACGCCGCGUGAGUGAUGAAGGCCUUCGGGUCGUAAAACUCUGUCCUCAAGGAAGAUAAUGACGGUACUUGAGGAGGAAGCCCCGGCUAACUACGUGCCAGCAGCCGCGGUAAUACGUAGGGGGCUAGCGUUAUCCGGAUUUACUGGGCGUAAAGGGUGCGUAGGCGGUCUUUCAAGUCAGGAGUGAAAGGCUACGGCUCAACCGUAGUAAGCUCUUGAAACUGGGAGACUUGAGUGCAGGAGAGGAGAGUGGAAUUCCUAGUGUAGCGGUGAAAUGCGUAGAUAUUAGGAGGAACACCAGUUGCGAAGGCGGCUCUCUGGACUGUAACUGACGCUGAGGCACGAAAGCGUGGGGAGCAAACAGGAUUAGAUACCCUGGUAGUCCACGCUGUAAACGAUGAAUACUAGGUGUCGGGGGUUACCCCCUUCGGUGCCGCAG
rnacentral:rRNA from 1 species